rnacentral:tRNA from 1 species
GGCUGGAUGGUGUAAUUGGUAGCACAAUUGCUUCGAGCAAUAGUCAGCAGGUUCAAAUCCUGCUUCCAGUCC